UGGAUGCUUGUGGGAACUGAAGUUCUCUAUUUAUCCGCAGAACAAAUGCAGCAUGGGAAGAGGCCGUGCAAUGUCUCAGUUUGCCUAAACCCUGACCUGGAGGGACCACCACUAAGAAUCAGAGGUUAGUUGAGUGUCCAUCCUGCCUUGGUUUAGACUUCA
rnacentral:sRNA from 1 species